UCCGGUCUCCUAACGAAACUGCUGAAAGUGCUAAGAAAGAAGGUUAAGGUCCUAGCACAUUUGUGCGCCAUCAAGUUGUACUCCCUGAAGCUGGUGCUGCAAGUAUCCUAUGUCACUCUCCCACCUUGUAUUGGUGGAAUAAUGAGCAGGAUGAUUUGGUGGAUAACCAUCUGAACUCAUCAUGUCAUUGUCCCUACGAGGGGUGU
rnacentral:lncRNA from 1 species